AGGUGGAAACUCGAGAUGGCGUUGAUGUGCGACUAUGAUGAAGAUUAUGAGUGACAAGUUAAACAGAUGUUUGUUACGUUAUCCUGUUAUGUGUUUCAAAGGAUUUUUCGUCAAAAAAUUCACGAUUGCUUUUUGUAUGUGGUGGUGUUUCGCCUUGUCAGCUAUGCCAGCUGCUGAACCAGUAGCUGCAUUCCUGCUAUCAAUGUACCGUAAGGGAUCCUGACACUUUAAGAAGGCCACUAUUCCUUACAUGAAGAUCACCAUCCAGUUCAAUCAACGACAGAGUCUUCAUCUACUUUGUGUUGCUAUCCAUCAGCCCUCAGCAUCCCAGAUUUCCAAGUUUCUCUGAUUAGCCAACCAUCAUCCAUACCUAUCAGCUCUUCAUUGUGGCUUCUCUUCCUCUCUUCUUAGUCUGCUGAAUGCCAACAUUUGCCAGCUCACAUGGAUAGGCUUUAAUAACAUCUCCAUUUUUUGGACUGCAAAUAUUCAUGUUCCUUCGGUACAACACUGCCGUUUUGACAAUUUCGGUAGUUUCGCCCCCAGUGGACCACACGCAACUACAUUUUCUUCGUCUUCCUGCCGUUGUUGUCAACGACUUCACCUUAUCGCUGUCUUCGUUGACGUCUUCGCCUUCAUCUCCGUCUCGUCGUCCUGGUCGUCUUCGCCUUCAUCUCCGUCUCGUCGUCUUGGUCGUCUUCGCCUUCAUCUCCGUCUCGUCGUCUUGGUCGUCUUCGCCUUCAUCUCCGUCUCGUCGUUUCGUCGUCUUCACCGUCUUCACCGUCUUUGUCUACGCCAUCACCUCGUCGCCGGCUUUUCCUUCGCCCUUCACGUAGGGAAUUCACCGUGGAUCGUCGCUCUGGUAUUGUUUUAUUUUGCAUUGUUAUGUUUAAGUUAACCCGUUGGCUGCCACCCCGUUUGCGUCCCAUUUUUUUUGUAGCUUGUAGGGACCGGCCGCAAUGGCCUUCGCCGCAAGGCGCUUUAGGCAA